UUCUAAUUCAAACCCAUGUUAAAGAAUGUUGGCUAGCUGUUUCUAGAGAUACCUGAGGAAAUAUGUGUUGAUUGAUGGAGGGUACAUCAAGGCAGUGUCACUGAGUGCUGCCAUAGGUACUCAGCCAAACCCCUCAAGCUUUGGUCCUGUUUCUGCUGUGUGAGUGUUACUGAGCUCACAGUCCUCGUGCUGUGCAUGAGGUGGUCUCCAUUCUGUAUUCUGCGAAGUGAUGAUAAAAGCCUGUAGCUCACCUACAGUGCAGCAGAGCUGCAAAUGAGAAAUAAAAUGGACACAUCAGUAAGCCAGACUUGGUCUGAUUAGUAAAUUAUACUCCUUUGAACCUGUAAUGCUACUCGUUUUGGUUUUUAGGAGUGUGCUUUCAACUAAAAAUCUAGUUGGCCUUUAAAAUGUACUAGAACACAAAUUUGAUAGAGAAAUCCAACAAUCUUCAAUCCAAAAUCAGUUUUGAAUGAAGUAAAGCAGUGCAUUUCUGUAUGUAUUCAGAAUAUUCUUUUAAUGUCUGACAUUCCAUGUAGUUCUGACCACCUCCAAACAUUUCUAAAGGAGCUCUUAAUAAAGAGACUUAACUCAUGUAAUGUUACAUGCUGUGCUUCAUUGUAAAUUGAGUAUGAUCCUGAAUUUGUUUGUUUAUUUACAGAGGAAUGGAAUGUUCUGCAGGUGCUGCAGCUCCAUGAUUUCUAUCAAAAGGAGAGAACCAAGUUCUGCUGCUUGGUUGUCUGAAAAUCUCCCAGUGAAAGUCUUCUUGAGGAAAUGGGCUGUGCUGAACCGUGGAUCGGCAUUACCUGCUGCCCUGGUGUGUGCAGAGUAUGAGGUCCUGCAGCAGAGAGGGAUUCUUUUUCCUGAUAAUUAAUAUUUAGAAGCCUAAUAAACUGCAAGUGAAGAGUGCA
rnacentral:lncRNA from 1 species